UACGUAGGGUGCGAGCGUUAAUCGGAAUUACUGGGCGUAAAGCGUGCGCAGGCGGUUCGUUGUGUCUGAUGUGAAAGCCCCGGGCUCAACCUGGGAAUGGCAUUGGAAACUGGCGAGCUAGAGUGUGGCAGAGGGGGGUGGGAAUUCCGCGUGUAGCAGUGAAAUGCGUAGAGAUGCGGAGGAACACCGAUGGCGAAGGCAGCCCCCUGGGCUGACACUGACGCUCAGGCACGAAAGCGUGGGGAGCAAACAGG
rnacentral:rRNA from 1 species